UACGUAGGCAGCGAGCGUUGUUCGGAGUUACUGGGCGUAAAGGGUGUGUAGGCGGUUGUUUAAGUUUGGUGUGAAAAUCUCCCCGGCUCAACUGGGAGGGUGCGCCGAAUACUGAAUGACUUGGAGUGCGGGAGAGGAAAGUGGAAUUCCUGGUGUAGCGGUGAAAUUCGUAGAUAUUGGGAAGAACACCGGUGGCGAAGGCGGCGACCUGGUCCGAUACUGACGCUGAGGCGCGAAAGCGUGGGGAGCAAACAGG
rnacentral:rRNA from 1 species